rnacentral:lncRNA from 13 species
AUGAUGGUAUUUGGUGAGGGAUCUCUCACGGUCCUCAUCUCAACUCAUGACCCUUUUGCUCUGUUUUCUCUCCCCUGUCCAGCUGUGAAAGGGAGUGAGAGAGCUGCUUUGGUGGCUGCCUGGAAUCCAGCCAGAGUCAACCCACUGCAAUUGGCCUUAAUACAAAAAGAAACCCAAAAAACAACCAACUUCUCCCUCCUUCUGGAGCAGGCUCCACUCUCUGGGACUGAUUUGUACAGACUGUUCCACCCUGGAGAGGCUUCACCACCACUGGAGCCUGCCCUGCGCCAGAGCAAAAGCUACUGGGGGACACACAGCUGCUUCCCCAGGCACCUGCGAUGGGGAGCCAUUAGCAGUUUGCCAUCUCUCCUGUUGCUGCUUGACAAAAUGUUGGUUGGGCACCUCAAAAGUGGAGGCAUGUGCUAGUUCUUCUUCUACUUCAUGUUUUAUCAUGGGUAUUCAACGCGGAGCAUCCCCAGGGAAGUGCCCUGGGCUUGGUUUCCUCCAGUGCCGCCCUCAAAAAACCCUAAAAUAGGCAAAAAAACUUUGGACUUUGUAACGUGUGGCCCAGUGGGAUGGAGGAUAACCUCUGACCCUGCUCACUCCAUCCCGAGUGAUGCCACCUGUAUCAUUUGUCCCCUGCCUCAUGCCAUCUCCCCAUGCCAUCACACCCCUCCAGGACUCAUGGGAGCCUCCUAUGCUCCCAACUCUUUCUUUAGUACCUUCUGUUUAAUAAUUGGUGCUUUCCAUUUGGUAAUUGGCACUAAUUAGUGAAAAGGAGAGAAGCAUGCCCUCCUCCAGGGCUCCUUCUUUUUUCUUUCUUGACUUUUUUCUUUUUUCUUUGUCCUUUUUAGUAUGCCACAUGAUUUUUGUUCAGGAGCGAAUGUGUGAUAUUGAUCUACAUAAUGAGCCUUUUUGACAGUCUGGGCACAUUUGGGAAUAACUCCUCGAGCAGAUGAAAUCCUUUAGGCCAGUACUGCUCAUUCUCUGCAGUUUCCAAAUGAAGCCACAAUUGUUCAGAAGUGACAGAGAAGAAAAUAAUUCAGGAGCUGGAAAUUACAUGAGCUGGGAACAGAUAUUUUUUUCCCCCCCUUCCCUUCCGGAUGGCAUGUGACUCACUCCGAAUUUGCUUAGCAAUUUUAUACUCAUGUCAAAGCAGACUCUUCCCAUUCCUGGUGAAGGAGAGGGAUGAAGUUGUUGUGUCCUGCAGUGUGCUGGGAGCUCCCGUGUCUUCUCCCCUCCAGCUGCAGGGAAGGAGGAAUAGGGGUCUUACCACAAGACACUGCUCCAAGGCCUCGUUCUUUCCAAACAUAGAAUUAUAAAAUAUCCUGAGCUGGAAGGGACCUGCAAGGAUCAGAGCCCAGCCCCUGGCCCUGCACACACACCCCAACAGUCCCACCCUGGGCAUCCCUGGCAGCGCUGUCCGAACGCUCCUGGAGCUCUGGCAGCCUCGGGGCCGUGCCCGUUCCCUGGGGAGCCUGGGCAGUGCCCAGCACCCUCUGCGGGAAGAGCCUUUCCCUGAUCUCCAACCUAAACCUCCCUGGCACAGCUCCAGCCAUUUCCUUGGGUCCUGCCCUGGUCACAGGGAGCAGAGAGCAGUGCCAUGCCCAGCACAGUUCCAGGAGCUGGUGGUUUCUUUUCUUUAUGGUGUUACUGGCAUUGAGCCCUGGAGAAACAGGAAGAAGAGCAUUAUAAAUCCCCUGCAUCUUCUGUAGAGCCAGUUUUCUGCAGCGAGAGGUUUUAAAAGUGAAUUCUGUUCUGAUCUCUGUUUCGCCUCCUCACUGGACCAUUGACAGUCGCACCAUUGUUU